rnacentral:misc_RNA from 1 species
AAGUCGUAACAAGGUUUCCGUAGGGUGAGUUCUUACUUCCUCUCUUUUUUACUGAUUACAUUUUUACUAACCCCUUUUCUAGUGAACCUGCGGAAGGAUCAUUAACGAGUUAGGGUCUUCUUGGCCCGACCUCCCAACCCUUUGUUUACUGAACCUCUUGUUGCUUCGGCGGGCCCGUCUUACUUUAGACCGCCGGGGGACCGCCGAGAGGCAUCCUCUAGCUCGUGUCCGCCGAUGGCCAACUAAAAUUCUGAGAUAAAUCAUGAUCUUUAUGUCUAAGUCAAUUGAUUAAAUUAAGCAAAACUUUCAACAACGGAUCUCUUGGUUCUG